GCUUGGCUCAUAGCUGUGCCCGCUAGCACCCCCCAGUGGCCUGAGCCAAGGGGGCGACCCUGAGCGGGAAGCGGGGCGGUGGUGGGGCCCGAGGGCCUUAGGCCGCGGCUCUGAGGAGCCGCACCCGGACCCCACCCAAAGCAGCGCUGCCCGAGACUCCUUUCCAGCGCUUAGCCAAGUGGUGUGGCCAGUGCCCGGUCCCUCUGUGCCUCCCUGGGCUUCUUCCCAGUUGUGGAGAAAGCCCGCGCUGGGGAAAGACUUAACUAGAAGUUAAAAAACUAGUGAAAAUGAAGAGCUGGCAUUUUCCAACGAUACCUUGAGUCUAAUGAGGGGCCUUGAGUCCAAGACGGUUGAGAGCCACUGCUGAAGAUUCUCCUUGCAAAGACUCAGUCUCAAGUCCUCAAACAGUAUUUAGGUGUUUUAAAAAAUGGACUUCAAUGGGAGUUGGACACUUAGGUCAGCACUUGAUAGCAGGGUGGAGUGCUUCAAGCAGGAUUUAAAUGCUGGAAGGGACGAUUGAUGCAUAUUCCUGAAGCUGAAACAAUACAGAUCACAAUUGUUUGAAGUUUCAUCCCAGUAAGGGAGGAAGUGCAGAAUGGUCUGAUGUGGUGAAAAACGACUGUAUAAAAUGACAAUCCAGGCCUGGAGGAAGGAGAUUUUGCUGAUCCAGAAACUACAGGUAUGAGACUGACCAGCCUACUGGAACAUCCUUGUGGAAGAUUGAUGGCCACCUAGUAAGUCAAGCAGUUUGUUGUUUUAAGGAAUGUUUUGUUCUUUAAAUGAUACUUUGCUUUGAAUAUUGCCAGGUCACCUCAAGUUUUGGGGUGUGAUAUUGGAUAAGGUGAGAUAUAAAUCUAAAAAAAUUAUAAAACCAUGCCACUGCCCAGAAAAAAAAUGAUUGCAAGUGCUAGGCAUACCUGAAUAGUCAUAGUGAAUUGCCAGCUUGACAGGAGGGGAUUGUGAGACUCAUCCUGAAAAAAAAGGCUGAUAGAAGCCUGAGACCUUGUCAUGGGGCCUUUAAGUAGGCAAUGCGGAUAGGAGGUCAGAGGCAUAGUUAGCUUGGGACUAGACAGAUCUGAUCAUCCGAUUGAUAGUUUUGAGACACAAGGCAAAAUGUUACCUGCUUCCUUGGUCCUGAAAGAAAUUCAGGUGUCCACAUACUUCCACACUGUUGUUGUGUCUUAUU